GACGAACGCUGGCGGCGUGCCUAAUACAUGCAAGUAGAACGGAGUUGCGAACGGGAGAGUAACGAGUCGGUAACUGCCUGGGAGCGGGGGAUAACAACUGGAGACGAUAGCUAAUAACGCAUACUACCAGAUGGAGCUGCGUUGUAUUAGAUAGUUGGUGGGGUAACGGCUCACCAAGGCAACGAUACAUAGCCGACGCUGGAAGGGGGUCGGCCACAACUGGACCGGGGAACGGCCCAGACUCCUUAGGGAGGCCGCAGUAGGGAAUCUUCGGCAAUUGGGCGAACCCCGACCGCGCAACGGCGCGUUAGUUGAGAAGGUCUUCGGGUCGUAAAGCUCUGUUGUUAAGGAAGCGGUACUUAACCAGAAAGGGACGGCUAACUACGUGCCAGCAGCCGCGGUAAUAC
rnacentral:rRNA from 1 species